AAAUAUGAAAUAAGCAAUGAAUUUCAUAUUCAAAAAAAAGGGCUCUGCAAGAGGACAUGCAAUGAGGGACAGAAGCACCAGCCCUCCCAUCAGGGGCUUCCAUGCGCAGUGUCGGUGCAAACCACCGGUGGGGCACAUCUGUGUAGUGAGCGCAGCAGCAGCAGGGUGGACGUGCAUUCCUGUCCGCAGCCAUGGUAGUGAGGUCUGGCAGAAUUGCUGCAGCUCUGUGGGUGGAAAAUGUGCUUUGCUUCAUUGAGGACUGCAAGUGCAACUCUCCUGCUGCAAAGUGCGUGCCCGCUUAAUCAGCUAAAGGAGCGAUAUUGUGCAAAGUGCCCCCCACCCAACAGGCUGCUCUGCAACAGGAAUCAAUCAGGU
rnacentral:lncRNA from 1 species